AUGGCCGCCGUGGAGGAUGAGACGCUGAGGGCGUUCGAAGAGGAGGACGACGCCAUGAUGAAUGAGCCGGACGGCGAGCCCAUGGACGACGAGGAGGAGGCCGACUCCCCGGCGACGAUGAAGGUCGGCGAGGAGAAGGAGAUCGGGAAGCAGGGGCUGAAGAAGAAGCUCGUCAAGGAGGGCGAGGGCUGGGAACGGCCCGAAACCGGCGACGAGGUCGAAGUGCACUACACGGGCACUCUCCUCGACGGGGCCAAGUUCGAUUCGAGCCGAGACCGCGGGACUCCCUUCAAGUUCAAGCUCGGGCAGGGGCAGGUGAUCAAGGGAUGGGACCAGGGCAUCAAGACCAUGAAGAAAGGCGAGAACGCCGUCCUCACCAUCCCGCCGGACCUCGCGUACGGCGAGGCGGGCUCCCCGCCCACGAUCCCGCCCAACGCGACGCUCCGGUUCGACGUCGAGCUCCUCUCGUGGGCCAGCGUCAAGGACAUCUGCAAGGACGGCGGCAUCUUCAAGAAGGUCCUCGUCGAGGGUCAGAAAUGGGAGAAUCCCAAGGAUCUGGACGAAGUUACUGUCAAGUACGAGGCCAGACUCGAGGAUGGAUCGGUCGUGUCCAAGUCAGAGGGUAUUGAAUUCGCAGUGAAGGAUGGUUACUUCUGCCCGGCACUUUCCAAAGCCGUCAAGACCAUGAAGAAGGGCGAGAAGGUCCUCCUGACCGUCAAGCCACAAUAUGGUUUUGGCGAGCAAGGAAGGCCGGCUUCUGAAGUUGAAGGCGCCGUGCCCCCGAAUUCCACAUUGCAUAUCGAUCUUGAGCUAGUCUCCUGGAAGACGGUCACCCUCAUCGGUGAAGACAAGAGGAUCUUGAAGAAGGUGCUCAAGGAAGGAGCAGGCUACGAGCGCCCCAACGACGGGGCAGUUGUGAGUGUGAGGCUGAUCGGCAAGUUGGACGACGGCACUGUGUUCACGAAGAAAGGACAUGAAGGCGACGAACCAUUCGAGUUCAGGACGGAUGAGGAGCAGGUCAUCGAAGGGCUGGACACGACGGUGCUCACCAUGAAGAAAGGAGAGGUCGCGUCAGCUAGAAUACCACCUGAACAUGCGUUCGGAUCCACCGAGACGAAGCUUGAUCUUGCUGUGGUUCCUCCCAACUCCACCGUCUUCUAUGAAGUGGAGAUUGUUUCCUUCGACAAGGAGAAAGAAUCUUGGGACUUGAAGAGUAAUGCUGAGAAGAUCGAAGCAGCUGCUAAAAAGAAAGAUGAAGGAAAUGCGUGGUUUAAGAUGGGCAAGUACGCCAAGGCUUCCAAGAGAUAUGAGAAGGCUGCGAAGUACAUUGAGUACGACAGCUCCUUCAGCGAGGAUGAGAAGAAGCAAUCCAAGGCAGUGAAGAUCAGCAUCAAGCUAAACAACGCAGCGUGCAAGCUGAAGCUAAAGGAUUACAAAGAAGCAGAGAAGCUCUGCACCAAGGUUUUGGAACUGGAGAGCACAAACGUCAAGGCUCUGUACCGGAGGGCGCAGGCGUACACCGAGCUCGUGGAUCUGGAGCUGGCAGAGCUAGAUAUCAAGAAGGCUCUGGAGAUCGACCCAGACAACAGGGAGGUGAAGGUUGCGUACAAGGCGUUGAAGGACAAGCUGAGGGAGUACAACAAGAGGGACGCCAAGUUCUACGGUAACAUGUUCGCCAAAUGGAGGAAGACGGAGAACGCCGCCGGGAAGCAGGACGCACAGCCUAUGGCCAUCGACAGCACCGCGUGA
rnacentral:rRNA from 1 species